GACGAACGCUGGCGGCGUGCCUAAUACAUGCAAGUUGAGCGCUGAAGGUUGGUACUUGUACCAACUGGAUGAGCAGCGAACGGGUGAGUAACGCGUGGGGAAUCUGCCUUUGAGCGGGGGACAACAUUUGGAAACGAAUGCUAAUACCGCAUAAAAACUUUAAACACAAGUUUUAAGUUUGAAAGAUGCAAUUGCAUCACUCAAAGAUGAUCCCGCGUUGUAUUAGCUAGUUGGUGAGGUAAAGGCUCACCAAGGCGAUGAUACAUAGCCGACCUGAGAGGGUGAUCGGCCACAUUGGGACUGAGACACGGCCCAAACUCCUAAGGGAGGCAGCAGUAGGGGAUCUUCGGACAUGGACGAAAGUCUGACCGAGCAACGCCGCGUGAGUGAAGAAGGGUUUCGGAUCGUAAAACUCUGUCGGUAGAGAAGAACGUUGGUGAGAGUGGAAAGCUCAUCAAGUGACGGUAACUACCCAGAAAGGGACGGCUAACUACGUG
rnacentral:rRNA from 1 species